GACGAACGCUGGCGGUAUGCUUAACACAUGCAAGUCGAACGAGAAGUCUUUUAUUGAACCUUCGGGGGAUAUAAGAGACAGACAGUGGCGAACGGGUGAGUAACGCGUGGGCAACCUACCUAUUGGAGCGGGAUAGCCUCGAGAAAUCGGGAGUAAAACCGCAUAACACGGAUAUAUCGCAUGAUGAAUCCGUCAAAACUCCGGUGCCGAUAGAUGGGCCCGCGUCUGAUUAGCUAGUUGGUAAGGUAAGGGCUUACCAAGGCAACGAUCAGUAGCCGGUCUGAGAGGGCGAACGGCCACACUGGAACUGAGACACGGUCCAGACUCCUACGGGAGGCAGCAGUGGGGAAUAUUGCGCAAUGGGGGCAACCCCGACGCAGCAAUACCGCGUGAGUGAAGAAGGUUUUCGGAUCGUAAAGCUCUGUUAUUGGGGAAGAAGCAGGACGGUA
rnacentral:rRNA from 1 species